rnacentral:rRNA from 1 species
AUACGGAGGGUCCAAGCGUUAUCCGGAAUCAUUGAGUUUAAAGGGUCCGUAGGCGGGCAAUUAAGUCAGAGGUGAAAUCCCACAGCUCAACUGUGGAACUGCCUUUGAUACUGGUUGUCUUGAAUUAUAGUGAAGUAGAUAGAAUAUGUAGUGUAGCGGUGAAAUGCUUAGAUAUUACAUAGAAUACCGAUUGCGAAGGCAGUCUACUAACUGUAUAUUGACGCUGAUGGACGAAAGCGUGGGGAGCGAACAGGAUUAGAAACCCUAGUAGUCC